rnacentral:rRNA from 1 species
UGGGGAAUUUUGCACAAUGGGGGAAACCCUGAUGCAGCGACGCCGCGUGAUUUAGAAGGCCUUCGGGUUGUAAAAAUCUUUUCUAUGGGAAGAAAAUGACAGUACCAUAGGAAUAAGGACCGGCUAAUUACGUGCCAGCAGCCGCGGUAAUACGUAAGGUCCGAGCGUUGUCCGGAAUCAUUGGGCGUAAAGGGUACGUAGGCGGGUAAGCAAGUUAGAAGUGAAAUCCUAUAGCUCAACUAUAGUAAGCUUUUAAAACUGCUCAUCUUGAGGUAUGGAAGGGAAAGUGGAAUUCGUAGUGUAGCGGUGAAAUGCGCAGAUAUUAGGAGGAAUACCGGUGGCGAAGGCGACUUUCUGGCCAUAACCUGACGCUGAGGUACGAAAGCGUGGGUAGCAAACAGG